rnacentral:lncRNA from 1 species
UCCCCCACUUCAAUUUCUGAUGUCCCCGUCAGAAUCGAUCACACACACGGGCCCAAAGAUCUUUGCCUCUCUAGCCAUUGUGGGAUAAUACCGGCUGGCUUCGUGUCCCCACCUCCGGACCUCCAUCUCUCCAUUGUGGGAUAAUACCACCAGCCUUCGUGUCCCCACCUCCGACAACCCGAUCGGAUGACCCGACCCGAGCUUUCGAGAGUCGGCUCU